CUUUGUUUUAGUUAGCUUUUCAAAGAUUUGAAAAAAGUCAUCACUGCGGUAAAACUUCCAGUUAUCACCUGAGGGCAUUAUUAUGGGAAGUUGGGUGCACUGUCAGUAAUAAAGUGUUAGAAUGUUUAAUUCUAAGGUUUGCCAAAGACCGAGUAUUAACUGCAGAAAAUUAUAUCAUGGCUUUAGUGCGGUUACAUCUUUCUCAUGACAGGUAUCAUAAUCUGGAUACAAAAACAAAGAGCAAUCCUCUAACUUUAGAAGAGAUGAUCCUAAUGACCAUUUACUCCUGAAACAUACGUGUAGACAAGACUUAACCAAAACCUAAUGGAUAUGAGAGUAGACAUAUUUGGUUAACUGACUAUAUUAAGAACCAAAGAAAUUGUGUACAAGAUUCUUAUGUUAAACGAUUUUAUUUGUUGUUUUUAUUUACAAAUAUAUUUAUCUUUAUUUAUUUACACCAAAAA
rnacentral:lncRNA from 1 species